rnacentral:rRNA from 1 species
UUUUCGGAGAGUUUGAUCCUGGCUCAGGACGAACGCUGGCGGCGUGCCUAAUACAUGCAAGUCGAGCGGACAGAAGGGAGCUUGCUCCCGGAUGUUAGCGGCGGACGGGUGAGUAACACGUGGGUAACCUACCUGUAAGACUGGGAUAACUCCGGGAAACCGGAGCUAAUACCGGAUAGUUCCUUGAACCGCAUGGUUCAAGGAUGAAAGACGGUUUCGGCUGUCACUUACAGAUGGACCCGCGGCGCAUUAGCUAGU